GAAACAAUGUUCUCGAGGCCACACACUGUUAUUCUUCCUUUUUUUCUAGCGACAGUGACAGCGCUGUCCUUGGAACAGGCAAAACCCACUCUGACGAGAAAGAUUGGCAGAACAGCCCGCUUCACCUGCAAAUUCUCAGGCUCUUCAGACUUUGAGUCCGCUGCUAUUCACUGGUACCAGAAGAAAGAAAACGAAGCAAUGAAACGAAUUCUUUAUAUACAAAAAGCUGGUACGCAGCCGGGAUAUGACGACGGUAGUGACAGAGAGCUUUUCAAGGCGAAUAAAAAUACUAACUCCGAGAGCGAGCUUAUAAUAAACGCUGUACAGAGCGAUCAUUCUGCCACAUAUUACUGUGCCUGCUGGGACACCCACAGCAAGUCAGAUGCUGUAGGCGGUCUGUACAAAAAACCCAGCUGA